rnacentral:rRNA from 1 species
GGCUUAGAGUUUGAUCAUGGCUCAGGAUGAACGCUGGCGGCGUGCCUAACACAUGCAAGUCGAACGAAGCGCUUUACUUUGAUUUCUUCGGGAUGAAGAGUUUUGUGACUGAGUGGCGGACGGGUGAGUAACGCGUGGGUAACCUGCCUCAUACAGGGGGAUAACAGUUAGAAAUGACUGCUAAUACCGCAUAAGACCACAGCUUCGCAUGGAGCAGUGGUAAAAACUCCGGUGGUAUGAGAUGGACCCGCGUCUGAUUAGCUAGUUGGUAAGGUAAGGGCUUACCAAGGCGACGAUCAGUAGCCGGCCUGAGAGGGUGGACGGCCACAUUGGGACUGAGACACGGCCCAAACUCCUACGGGAGGCAGCAGUGGGGAAUAUUGCACAAUGGGGGAAACCCUGAUGCAGCGACGCCGCGUGAGCGAAGAAGUAUUUCGGUAUGUAAACUUCUAUCAGCAGGGAAGAAAGUGACGGUACCUGACUAAGAAGCCCCGGCUAACUACGUGCCAGCAGCCGCGGUAAUACGUAGGGGGCAAGCGUUAUCCGGAUUUACUGGGUGUAAAGGGAGCGUAGACGGGAUAGCAAGUCUGAAGUGAAAGCCCGGGGCUCAACCCCGGGACUGCUUUGGAACUGUUGACCUGGAGUGCUGGAGAGGCAAGUG